rnacentral:rRNA from 1 species
CAAUAGCGUAUAUUAAAGUUGUUGCGGUUAAAAAGCUCGUAGUUGGAUUUCUGCCGAGGACGACCGGUCCGCCCUCUGGGUGAGUAUCUGGCUUGGCCUGGGCAUCUUCUUGGAGAACGUAGCUGCACUUGACUGUGUGGUGCGGUAUCCAGGACUUUUACUUUGAGGAAAUUAGAGUGUUUCAAGCAGGCAUGCGCCUUGAAUACAUUAGCAUGGAAUAAUAAGAUAGGACUUUGGUGGUCUAUUUUGUUGGUUUGCACGCCAAGGUAAUGAUUAAUAGGGAUAGUUGGGGGUAUUUAUAUUUAAUUGUCAGAGGUGAAAUUCUUGGAUUUCUGAAAGACGAACUACUGCGAAAGCAUUUACCAAGGAUGUUUUCAUUAAUCAAGAACGAAAGUUAGGGGAUCGAAGACGAUCAGAUACCAU